GCAGUAGAUCAACCACCGAGGGAUCCUUCUUACAACAAUGUGGGAUGUUUGCUUUAAAUUUAGAGCAAUCACCCUGUUCUGUCGUCUGUGCACCAACCAUGGACCAGAUGACCUCCUUCUUUGCCCAAGUCCACCCGAGUGUCCAACCGGGUGCUUGGAUAUGGCGGUAUUGUUGGAAGUUAAACAUGGUAACAACAGCGACAUAGCCAUCUGGAGUCCACUGCAUGAUAUCCCACUUGAUUGUUAUGUUUCCGUUUGGAUCGAGAGAAUCAUAAGCUUCUGUUGUACCAAGACAGGAGAAAACCACAAGAAAUGUGAAGAAGAUGGUGAGAGAUUUGAGCUUGGGCACAAACUCCAUUGCAGGGGAAACUCCUAG
rnacentral:misc_RNA from 1 species